AAUUUCUGUUAUCUGUAAAGCAGGGGAGAACAAUAUCUGUGGCUGUGUAUAUUGCACCCUCCUGAACCAAUUGGAUGCUGUUCACCUACCUUUAAGACAUAUGUGGGAGCCUGACAUGUUCUUAGGCUGGAUCAUAUCUUCAGGAAGUUUCCAGGAGCACGAUUCAGCUUGAAGACAAAAUGUGUGCUCUCUUCCCUGAGUGUCUUGUUUUAGAGAGAAGUCAUUCUUCCCUUGCUGCUAAGGCAGCGAUAAGUACAGCAGCUGUCAGAGCACCAGCAGGGAGGUAGGCAACACUUUCAAAAAUGCUAGGAAUAUAAAGAUAUCAUUGAUCGUGACAAAAUCCUCUGCGAGUUUGUUCACCUGUGUUCAUAACAUUGUCUAGCCAACAGUGAGGACCACAAGCAGUGCAGCUGCUUCUCUGAUGAAUCACUAUUAAACAAAGUUUGUGUUUCACUCCAUAUUUAACUACAGGAGCUGUUACUGAAGUAUUGCUGCUAGUCUAUGGUUAGAGUUGCCAACUCUGAUCUCUUUCCUGCCAACAGAAAGAAGACAGUGGCCAAAAUAACACUCACUACAGGCUUCUUGCAUAUAGUUGCGUAUCAUCCAGUUCAUGAUUUCCACGCCCAUUCUACAAAGAUGAAAACCAGUUUUAGCCAAGUAUACGAGUAUACGAACCAUCGUAUGUGAUGGCUUUUCAGUGGUGACUGGUCCCAUACAGUCCAAGCAUUCCCUUCUUUCUUCUUCUCUCCUUUUCCAAACCGGAUGAACAGCACGCUGAUGAUGUUCACUGAGAGGGAGAGACAAGAAGCUUUUUCUUACAUUGCCUUCUCCUCAAGUCUUCAUCCAGGUGUCGUUAGCUGAGAAACCAUCACCAGAUAACAGAAACACAUUGGACUAUCCUCCCCAUGCUCACCACCAUGUCAUCCCAGUAUUUGAGGCUCCUCCUGUCCAUUAGCAACUCGCGCUAACAUUUCUUCACAUCUUCUUUGGUGGUUGUGGAGAUAGCAAGCAACUGCUUCUUAUCAACUAGACAAAAGUCCCUACAUUGAAGUAACCAGUGAUGUGACAAUAGCUGGGUGAGCUGGCUUCCCCAUUAAAUUCAAGGGAGAUGGGAAUUCCUUGUAGGCAGAUGGUCUUAUUUCAUGUGCAGAACUACCCUUCUUGAGGAUGAAAUUCUCUUGUGUGGAGGAUUCACAUCACCUUGCAGGAAAUUAAUAGAGGCAGGCCUGAUACCUUAAAAGGACAUCAAGCAAAAAAGAUACUUUCACUGUCUUCAGGACUGAACCCUGAUUCAAUUCAGUUAUAGCUGAAACAGAUUUUCUUAGUCUUUCCCUAUUGUACUUUCUCACUGAAUUAUAAACAUCCUGCAUAUUGAGACAUGUUCAAUAACAAUUCAAAUAGAAAUGAACACAGAGAAUUCCAGGAAUGUCUGCCAGGAUGGAUAUUCAGAUCCUGUGCCCUGAAUGUUAAGCAGAUUGAUAUAUGAAUUUCUAGAUGAAAGACUUUGCUGAGGAUCUUAGAAAUAUAAAUAGCAGGAAAAGAAAGACUUGAGUUAAUCCAAUUUCCAGUAGAGAUAAAAGGUACCACAGGGGUUGAAAGACUAGUUUCCAUCAAAUUUGUUGUUCCAAUCAUUCUUUAACUUGUUCUAGUAAAAGAGCACUUAAGCUGAUCCCUGGAGAAAUAGACUUUUGAAGACAACUGGUUUUUCACAGCUUGCUUGUACACUUCUUAUUUCAGAAUCAACACGAGAAGGAAAAUAUUGUAUAUAUUCUGUUUCAUAUGCUCUGGAGGGAUUUUCAACUUUUUUGCUAUAAAGCUCAAACAUAAAUAAAGUGCUAACAAAGAGUAGUAGAUGGUUUAUG
ensembl:lncRNA